UACGUAGGGACCAAGCGUUGUUCGGAUUUACUGGGCGUAAAGGGCGCGUAGGCGGCAAUUCAAGUCAUCUGUGAAAUCUCCGGGCUUAACUCGGAACGGUCAGAUGAUACUGCUUUGCUAGAGUGCAGAAGGGGCAAUCGGAAUUCUCGGUGUAGCGGUGAAAUGCGUAGAUAUCGAGAGGAACACCUGAGGUGAAGACGGGUUGCUGGGCUGACACGUGACGCUGAAGCGCGAAAGCCAGGGGAGCAAACGGG
rnacentral:rRNA from 1 species